AGAAAGGGGACUUUCGGUCCUGAGUAUAGUGGCGCACGGGUGAGUAACACGUGAAUAAUCUACCUCCGAGUGGGGAAUAACUGAGAGAAAUCUUAGCUAAUACCGCAUAACACUUACGAGUCAAAGCAGCAAUGCGCUUGGAGAGGAGUUCGCGGCCGAUUAGUUAGUUGGCGGGGUAAUGGCCCACCAAGACGAUGAUCGGUAUCCGGCCUGAGAGGGCGCACGGACACACUGGAACUGAAACACGGUCCAGACUCCUACGGGAGGCAGCAGUGGGGAAUUUUGCGCAAUGGGGGAAACCCUGACGCAGCAACGCCGCGUGGAGGAUGAAGUCCCUUGGGACGUAAACUCCUUUCGAUCGGGACGAUUAUGACGGUACCGGAAGAAGAAGCCCCGGCUAACUUCGUGCCAGCAGCCGCGGUAAUACGAGGGGGGCGAGCGUUGUUCGGAAUUAUUGGGCGUAAAGGGCGCGUAGGCGGUCGGAUAAGUCUCGUGUGAAAUCUUCGGGCUCAACUCGAAGUCUGCACGAGAAACUGUCCGGCUUGAGUGUGGGAGAGGUGAGUGGAAUUCCUGGUGUAGCGGUGAAAUGCGUAGAUAUCAGGAGGAACACCUGUGGCGAAAGCGGCUCACUGGACCACAACUGACGCUGAGGCGCGAAAGCUAGGGGAGCAAACAGGAUUAGAUACCCUGGUAGUCCUAGCCCUAAA
rnacentral:rRNA from 1 species